GAAACGCGAUAGUUAAUGUGAAUUGCAGAAUUCAGUGAAUCAUCGAGUCUUUGAACGCACAUUGCGCCCAUAGGUAUUCCUUUGGGCAUGUCUGUUUGAGCGUCAUUACAACCCUCAGCUAACCGCUGGUUUUGAACCUGAACGGGUGACACCGCGCCGGUUUUAAAGUUGUAAGCUCUGCUGGCCGCUCUGCCCAACCAGAACAUAGUAAGCACUACUUGUCCGGGUGAAGCUGAACGGUACGGCCUGAACAAAACCUACCCACUCUCAAGGUUUGACCUCAGAUCAGACAAGGAUACCCGCUGAGCUUAAGC
rnacentral:misc_RNA from 1 species